rnacentral:lncRNA from 1 species
AAAAUACAAGAAAGCAUUAAAGAAAACUAACUAACUUCUUAACCUUUACUAAAUACAACACUUCAAAUACUCAAGAGAAGUAAUCACUAACCAAAACUAACUAACUUCCUAGCCCUUAACUGUCUAACUGUAACAGAUUCAAUAGAAUCUUCAUCUAACUAAUCCUCACGAUUAUCAAUAAUUAAUAGUGUAACUAACUCAUAACUGAAUUUCACUUGAUCUAACCUAACAAAGU